UCCCCUUGCUGCUAGGUGACUCUACUGU
rnacentral:piRNA from 1 species